UACGAGGGGUGCAAGCGUUACUCGGAAUUACUGGGCGUAAAGGGUGCGUAGGUGGUUGUUUAAGUCUGUUGUGAAAGCCCCGGGCUCAACCUGGGAAUGGCAAUGGAUACUGGACAGCUAGAGUGCGGUAGAGGGUAGUGGAAUUCCCGGUGUAGCAGUGAAAUGCGUAGAGAUCGGGAGGAACACCAGUGGCGAAGGCGGCUACCUGGACCAGCACUGACACUGAAGCACGAAAGCGUGGGGAGCAAACAGG
rnacentral:rRNA from 1 species